rnacentral:rRNA from 1 species
AGUUUGAUCCUGGCUCAGGAUUAACGCUGGCGGCGCGCCUAAUACAUGCAAGUCGAACGGAAACCUUAGGGUUUUAGUGGCGAACGGGUGAGUAACACGUAAGCAACCUGCCUUUAAGACGUGGAUAACAAUUGGAAACAGUUGCUAAGACAGGAUAGGAAAUUAAGAGGCAUCUUUUAAUUUUUAAAAGACCUUUUUCGAAAGGUAUACUUAAAGAGGGGCUUGCGCCACAUUAGUUAGUUGGUAAGGUAAAAGCUUACCAAGACGAUGAUGUGUAGCUGGUCUGAGAGGUCGAACAGCCACAUUGGGACUGAGACACGGCCCAAACUCCUACGGGAGGCAGCAGUAAGGAAUUUUUGGCAAUGGAGGAAACUCUGACCGAGCGACGCCGCGUGAACAAUGAAGUACUUCGGUAUGUAAAGUUCUUUUAUUGAAAAAGAAAAAAUAGUGGAAAAACUAUCUUGACAUUAUUCAAUGAAUAAGCCCCGGCUAAUUAUGUGCCAGCAGCCGCGGUAAUACAUAAGGGGCGAGCGUUAUCCGGAAUUAUUGGGCGUAAAGGGUGCGUAGGUGGUUUGAUAAGUCUAUAGUUUAAAUGCAGUGCUUAACGCUGUAGCGCUAUAGAAACUGUCUGACUAGAGUUAGAUAGAGGCAAGCGGAAUUCCAUGUGUAGCGGUAAAAUGCGUAAAUAUAUGGAGGAACACCAGAGGCGUAGGCGGCUUGCUGGGUCUUAACUGACGCUGAGGCACGAAAGCGUGGGGAGCAAACAGGAUUAGAUACCCUGGUAGUCCACGCCGUAAACGAUGAGUACUAAGUGUCGGGUUUUGACUCGGUACUGAAGUUAACACAUUAAGUACUCCGCCUGAGUAGUACGUACGCAAGUAUGAAACUUAAAGGAAUUGACGGGACCCCGCACAAGCGGUGGAUCAUGUUGUUUAAUUCGAAGAUACACGAAAAACCUUACCAGGUCUUGACAUAAUUUUGCGACAUUAUAGAAAUAUAAUGAAGGUUAUCAGAAUUACAGGUGGUGCAUGGUUGUCGUCAGCUCGUGUCGUGAGAUGUUAGGUUAAGUCCUAAAACGAGCGCAACCCUUGUCGUUAGUUGCGACCACGUAAUGGUGAGCACUUUAGCGAGACUGCCAAUGAAAAAUUGGAGGAAGGUGAGGAUUACGUCAAAUCAUCAUGCCCCUUAUGAUCUGGGCUACAAACGUGAUACAAUGACUGUUACAAAGAGUAGCUGUAACGUGAGUUUAUGGCCAAUCUCAAAAAAACAGUCUCAGUUCGGAUUGAAGUCUGCAACUCGACUUCAUGAAGUUGGAAUCGCUAGUAAUCGCGAAUCAGCAUGUCGCGGUGAAUACGUUCUCGGGGUUUGUACACACCGCCCGUCAAACCACGAAAGUUGAUAAUACCCGAAAGCGGUCGCCUAACUUCGUUAGAAGAGGGAGCCGUCUAAGGUAGGAUCGAUGAUUGGGGUUAAGUCGUAACAAGGUAUCCCUACCGGAAGGUGGGGAUGGAUCACCUCCUUUCU